GAGUUUACAAUAUUACAAUGUCUAAAAACUUGUAUUUGAAAGUUCAAGAAUGUAAUAUAAAAUAUAAUAUAAAUUAUACGAAACAAUUCUUGAAAUUACAAUCAUAUUACAAACUGUUUAUAAACAUAAAUUCAUCUUAAUUUUUAUAUAUUAAACUAAUAAAUUCAUGCAGUAAAUCAAAAUAAAACUAAUUUUAUGAUUGAUCUGCAGUUCUGUCCGAUGAGGUAAAAUAGUAAACAUAAACAUAAUUUCAUUGCUACGACUGCAACUAUUGGUUACCGACUAAUGACAUUCGAGUUUCACUAUAUAGGCUUACUAUCUAGUUUAAUUUCCAGUUAUACAUUUUAACACAACUGACCAUUGACCGCUAAAUUAGAAUAUUAUAGGUUGUACUAUACUUUAAUCUUGUGAUUUUGUUUAUGUUUGUUGAGUCAACUUGGGUGGAGUAUAAGAUUGUUACAUCAUAUAAUAUAAAAGUGCAUUGGAUAUCAGAUCUAUUUGCAUUUUGUUUGUGAUAUAACAUACUUUUGUGAAGGCGGUAGAUGUCAUACACAAUGUUAUAUCUUAUAAUUUAUAUAGACAAGAAGAAUGAAAAGUAAUAAAUUUGCCAUAAUGAUAAACAACGAUUACAAAUCUAUGAUUCAAUGGCAUCCAGAAAUGAUAUUAAUUUCUAAAAGACCAAUGACAUGGAAAGGAUUUUUAGAAGUUCCAUGCAUUUCAGGACGAAAUAUGCGAAUUAGGCUAAAAUUGAUUGUGCAUAAUUAUCCAUUACUGUCUAAUGCAGAAAUUAAUUUUGGUAAAGAAAUUGCAUUUAUACGAAAUGAAGGAUUUAGUGAUAAAGUGAAAGAUUUAAUGCAUAAUGUCACUAAAGUAUCAACAUUUCUAAAACAAUUACAAUUGCUAAUCUCAAUAUUUUUCAAACAGAGUAGUUUUAUCAACUCUAGUUAUGUUAUUGAAAAUUAUGAAUAUGAUGCAGUAGAUGAUCAAGCAAUCGAAAUGUUAGCAGAAUUAAGAAAUUUACUUCAGAUACCAUCUGGAAUUAAAGUAUCAGCUAAUAAUACGAUGAAUAUAAUUGAAUUAUCUUUGAACAAUGUGGCUGUAAGAUUGCAGAAAACAAGUCAUAGAACGUGUCCAUGGACAGUUGUUUAUUCAGAUUUACCUGAAAUACCUUCUCUUGGGCCCUUUGAAAAGAAUAUAUCAACAUUAAAUAUAGCCAGAAAUAAACUUAGGUUACAAGUAGAAAUGCUUGAGAAAUCAUGGUCAAAUUUGAAGCAAAUUGAUCAGAACUGCUGGGUAAUAGAUCCAUUGCCUCCAAAACCAAGCCAUCUUUAUCGACGGAUUUACUUAACGUCAUCUUUAUCAAUGUUCAUUAAAAUAGAUCCUUUGAAUCAUAUGGAUUUGCCAGAAAUUAAAUUUAUGGGUAGUGAUGCUGAAGUUGAAUCAAUAACAGAACUAGUUUCUAAGAAUUUAUAUAAAUGGGAUCCAAGUUGUGAUAUUAUAAAUAAUUUAAUGAUGUUAUUAGAUAUAGACAUAUUUCCUAAACAGGAAAUGAAGAAGGAAGCUGUCGAAGAUUACAAUGUUGUUGUUGCUGAUGAAGAAUGUUGUAUUUGUUUUUCCCUAAAAUUAGACAAUAUGACUCUGCCUGAUAAGAUUUGUAAUAAUGAGAAAUGUAGGAAACAUUUCCAUACAUCUUGUUUAUUGCAGAUUUUACAUCUAUACCAUGGAGAUUGCAAACAUCUAAAAUAUAAAAUACAAGAAAGUAUUUUUAAUUACAUAAAAAUGUGAUGUUUUUAUAGUAAACAAAAACUUAUUUAAAAAAUUACUUACUUUGCAAUUGUGAUAUGUGCAAUGUACACUUGAAGUUCCAAUAAUCUGAUAAGAUAUUGACUAAAUUUUCCAUUUGGAUAAAUUCUAAUUAAGAAUUCAAUAGAGUCAUCUGUGAAAGAAAUUGGCGUGUAUGGUUUGGCAGCAUCAUGUAAAUGUAAUAUAACAUAUUGUCCCGGAUCAAUUAAUAUACUGU